rnacentral:misc_RNA from 1 species
GGAUUGAGAGAAAUGGAGAGAAGAAAAGAAUUCUGAUUUCUCCAAUUUCUCUUGUUUGGACAUUAGAUAGAGGACAGAAAGGAGGACAAAGGAUGGGAAUAAAAAAGAAAUUUCAUUUCCCAAAUCCUCUUAAUUGACCUAAAAUAUUCUCUUCAAAUUGGAGUGAAAAAUAAGGAAAUGUGGGAAUAAAAGUGUUAUUUAUAUUACAAUUACUUAGACGCCCUUAGACAUAAGAAACAAUGAGGAUAUAAUAGAUGUUUCUCCUCUUUUCUCUUAAGGGAGAAAUUAUAUUUCUCUCAUAUUUUAAUAAUCUAUCCAAACAACAUAAAGAAAAUUAUGUUUCCUUUGAUCUAUCCAAACAACAUAAAGAAGAUUAUGUUUCCUUUG